GUGCUUGCUUCGGCAACACAUAUACUAAAAUUAGAACAAUACAGAGAAGAUUAUCACAGCCCCUGCAGAAAGAUGACAUGCAAAUUCCUGAAGCAUUCCAUAUUUUU
ensembl:snRNA U6 U6 spliceosomal RNA